GCCUGGGUGGCUCAGUCGGUUGAGCAUCCGACUUCGGCUCAGGUCACGAUCUCGUGGUCUGUGGGUUCGAGCCCCACAUCAGGGU
rnacentral:tRNA from 1 species